rnacentral:rRNA from 1 species
UACGUAGGGGGCAAGCGUUAUCCGGAAUUAUUGGGCGUAAAGAGUGCGUAGGUGGUUUGAUAAGCGCAUAGGUGAAAGGCUACAGCUCAACUGUGGUAAGCCUUGCGAACUGUCAAACUUGAGUGCAGGAGAGGAGAGCGGAAUUCCUAGUGUAGCGGUGAAAUGCGUAGAUAUUAGGAGGAACACCAGUGGCGAAGGCGGCUCUCUGGACUGUAACUGACACUGAGGCACGAAAGCGUGGGGAGCGAACAGG